rnacentral:rRNA from 1 species
UACGUAGGGGGCUAGCGUUGUCCGGAAUCAUUGGGCGUAAAGAGCGCGUAGGCGGCCAGAUAAGUCCGGUGUGAAAGUCAAAGGCUCAACCUUUGAAUGGCGCUGGAAACUGUCUGGCUAGAGUCCGGGAGGGGCGAGUGGAAUUCCUGGUGUAGCGGUGAAAUGCGCAGAUAUCAGGAGGAACACCAAUGGCGAAGGCAGCUCGCUGGAACGGUACUGACGCUGAGGCGCGAAAGCGUGGGGAGCGAACAGG